CCCUUAGAUGUCCGGGGCCGCACGCGCGCUACAAUGGAUGAAUCAACGCGUCAUCCUGGCCCGAAAGGGUUGGGGAACCGCUGAACCUCAUCCGUGGUUGGGAUUGGGGUUUGUAAUUAUUCCCCAUGAACUAGGAAUUCCCAGUAAGCGCGAGUCAUAAGCUCGCGUUGAUUACGUCCCUGCCCUUUGUACACACCGCCCGUCGCUCCUACUGAUUGGGUGAUCCGGUGAGCUGUUCGGCCAUAGCAAUGUUUCUUGAGCAGGGCAAUGAAUGUUUCGCAAACCUUGCCACUUAGAGGAAGGAGAAGUCGUAACA
rnacentral:rRNA from 1 species